ACUUAAGCAUAUCAAUAAGCGGAGGAAAAGAAACCAACAGGGAUUGCCCUAGUAACGGCGAGUGAAGCGGCAACAGCUCAAAUUUGAAAUCUGGCGCAAGCCCGAGUUGUAAUUUGUAGAGGAUGCUUCAGGGCAGCGGCCGGUCUAAGUUCCUUGGAACAGGACGUCAUAGAGGGUGAGAAUCCCGUAUGCGACCGGUUGGCACCCGUCACGUAGCUCCUUCGACGAGUCGAGUUGUUUGGGAAUGCAGCUCUAAAUGGGAGGUAAAUUUCUUCUAAAGCUAAAUACCGGCCAGAGACCGAUAGCGCACAAGUAGAGUGAUCGAAAGAUGAAAAGCACUUUGGAAAGAGAGUUAAAAAGCACGUGAAAUUGUUGAAAGGGAAGCGCAUGCAACCAGACUUGUCGGCGGUGUUCCGCCGGUCUUCUGACCGGUCCAUUCGCCGCCGACAGGCCAGCAUCAUCUGGGCGCGCCGGAUAAAGGCGUAGGGAAUGUGGCUCCUCGGAGUAUUAUAGCCCCGCGCACAAUACGGCGCCGCUCGGGUGAGGUCCGCGCUUCGGCUAGGAUGCUGGCGUAAUGGUUGUCUGCGGCCCGUCUUGAAACACGGACCAAGGAGUCUAACAUCUAUGCGAGUGUUCGGGCGUCAAACCCCUACGCGUAAUGAAAGUGAACGGAGGUGGGAAGCGCAAGCUGCACCAUCGACCGAUCCUGAUGUCUUCGGAUGGAUUUGAGUAAGAGCAUAGCUGUUGGGACCCGAAAGAUGGUGAACUAUGCCUGAAUAGGGUGAAGCCAGAGGAAACUCUGGUGGAGGCUCGCAGCGGUUCUGACGUGCAAAUCGAUCGUCAAAUUUGGGUAUAGGGGCGAAAGACUAAUCG
rnacentral:rRNA from 1 species